UGGGAUUCUUUGGGAUUCACGCAGGUGCCUUAAAGACGGACGAAUAUCGGACAGUAUUACAAAUUCAUUUUCAAAGCGGACUUUUCAAGGAAAACUGGACAGGACGUCUGGCCUGUUUCAACGCCGAAAAACGUUCAUAUUCGCUUCACUUUCACUCGCGAGCAGCAGCAACUUGCUAGUUGUGACCGCUAGCUAGCUAGCGUUGACUAGCCAACACAACACAACACAACUAUAAGCUACGAAGAGCAAAGGAUUUAUGGAGUUUGACUAUCAAUAAUACGCAUCUCUGAGAGAGCGAGGCGUCCUCCGCUCGCAGCUGUGCCUUGAAGGCAGGCCAGCCAGCCAAGCGGUCGGCCACCCAGCCAACCAGCAGUUCGAGGUGUCAACUGUUAGGACUGAAGGCUCGCCAAAGUCUGCACAAACGCCGCCGACCUGUUGGCGCUCCUCGAGGAGGAACGUCGCUCGACCCCCACGCAGCUGGAGCAGGAUGGAUCAAUCUCACUUUAAUGUGCACGCACACACUCUCAAAUGAUGUGGUUCCGUUGGCUUCAUCGAGCCGCGAUCUCCAACUCUCACCGGAGCGGUUCGCAGCCGAGUGUGAAGCGGCUGAGAUGAGAAUCGGCGCCUCUGAAUCCGAGGCCGUGGUCCUCAGUCGGAAAGGGGAGGAGCUGGACGAAGUGGCUGGUGAGAGGGAAGUCUGGGCGUCCCUGCUAAAGCUCUACCCGGCCUUGCGUAAGUGGAAGAAAAUGGAGGGAUGCGUGGAUUUCCCACAAUAGAAGCACUUUUUCAUGCUAAUACAAGGUGCACUUGAAUUAAAAAACUAUUUACUGGCCAAAUGUAACAUAUGCCAGACACAAA